rnacentral:lncRNA from 1 species
UCGGUCUGUUCUUGGCGCGGAAGCUUUCGCUGACACGAGCUGUGUACUACAUAGUGAUGCAGUGCUUAGGAGCUAUCUGUGGAGCUGGUGUGGUCAAGGGGUUCCAACCAAAGCAGUACCAAGCUCUUGGAGGUGGAGCCAACACUGUAGCUCAUGGUUACACCAAAGGAAGUGGUCUCGGAGCUGAGAUCAUUGGAACCUUUGUCCUCGUUUACACCGUCUUCUCCGCUACUGAUGCUAAGAGAAACGCUCGUGACUCUCAUGUUCCGGUAAGUUAAUUUAUAUAAAAAAAUAAAAAAUCAAAUAGACAGGAUUGGUGUUGUGUUGUAUUGGGAUCAGGAUGCUUAGUUGUUUUUUUUUUUUUGAAAUUGGACAGAUUCUUGCACCUCUCCCUAUUGGAUUCGCUGUGUUCUUGGUCCACUUGGCAACCAUCCCCAUCACUGGAACUGGAAUCAACCCAGCAAGAAGUCUUGGUGCUGCCAUCAUCUUCAACAAGGACAAC